rnacentral:misc_RNA from 1 species
AUCUCUCACAAAACCAUUUGGUUUCAAACCAUUUGGUUUCUGUCGAAGUUGGGAUGUGCGAAUCCUUUGGGAAUCGCUCUCCUUAAAUGUAUUGGUGCGGCCCGCCGCCCGGUUACACAACGUUCUAGGUUCGUCCAACUCGUUGCUCUCCGGUGCAAUCAUGGUGCAGCACCUUAAGCCCGCCUUGUGCCUCGAGCUCUUGGCUACUUCAUU